CUUCAUGGUAAUCACUGUUAAUACUUUGGAGUAAAUAUUUCCAUUUUCCCCUAGAUAUGUCAUUGGUUUUCUUGGCCUGUGGUUAGCAAUUCUGGCUCUGCUUUUGUCUCGAUAUUAUGUUGUUGCCAUACACCUCCGUACAAGCAUAGUCCAGGUAAACUCUCCUCCUCAACCCAGCGCAAACCCUUCAAACACAGCAGUGGAUUGCAAGUCUCAGGACUCCUUGGAAACUACAGAUGGAAAGACUUCUCCACAGACCCUUGCUUGUCUGUCGUCUCUAAAAUCCAUUGCCAAGAUGGGAAAGUUUUCCUUUGCUCCCUGUUCUGCUUGUCUUACCUGAGGCGAUGCCGCAUGUGAUAGCACAGGAUGAAUGUUUCUGAACACAAAAAGAUGGAGCUGUUAGGCCACACCUGCAGAACAAACCUAGGAUUUUCAGAAGGAAGUCUUUGGAACUGGCUCUGGUUCCCCUCUGGGUUUCCGUUACUUCUAAAAGACUCAGAGGGAAAGUUCUAAAAUUGGACCAAUGGGACGUUUUUAGCUCUUACCAGGCAGAUUUUUCCACAGAGCUUGAGAAAGUUCCUGUAGUUCCAGUGCUGCGAUCUCAAGAUCCCAGGCGCGUUGCCAGGUGAUUCCUAUGCUGGCUGUUAGUUAAACGCAGUCCAGGUAAAAUGAAAUUUUGUUCAAGGGACACUGCUUUCUAUUUUCCAAGGAUGCUAGUAAAUGGUCACUCCUUCUUCCAUAUUUAUGUGAGUCAUGUCUGUCAUGUAA
rnacentral:lncRNA from 1 species